rnacentral:sRNA from 1 species
CAUCCAUAUAUUAGCUGUCGCUAGCCACUAGGUAGAUGAUAACAACCAUCCACCGCAGGAGGGUCUAAAAGAUAUAACAACGUCUUCUUCUGGCUCGGGAAAAUAAAGGAGAAUAUCAAGUUAGAAGUACAUGUCUAUCAUUAAUUUUGCAACAGGAAUCUAUAAAAACCCAAUGACAAUAUAACAAAUUGUAUAAAAAAGUUCAAGAAAAAAAGAAAAAAAGAAAAAAGCCCGUGAUCACACAUCCAUGGAUGUAUGUCGCAUUACAAAACCAAAACCCACUUGGUUAGUUCCUCACCCGCC